rnacentral:rRNA from 1 species
UCCGUAGGUGGCAGUUCAAGUCUGCUGUCAAAGACCGGGGCUCAACCUCGGAAAGGCAGUGGAAACUGAACAGCUAGAGUAUGGUAGGGGCAAAGGGAAUUCCUGGUGUAGCGGUGAAAUGCGUAGAGAUCAGGAAGAACAUCGGUGGCGAAGGCGCUUUGCUGGACCAUAACUGACACUGAGGGACGAAAGCUAGGGGAGCGAAUG